rnacentral:lncRNA from 1 species
CUCAAAGUGAUCCAAAUAUUCAAUUGCAGAUUCUACAAAAGACUGUUUCAAAAUUCUCUAUCAAAAGGAAGGUUCAACUCUGUGAGUUGAAUGCACACAUCACAACAAUGUUUCUCAAAAUGCUUCUGACUAGUUUUUAUGUGAGGAUAUUCCCGUUUCCACCUCAGACCUCAAAACCCUACAAAUGUCCACAUGCAGAUUCUACAAAAAGAGUGUUUCAAAACUGCUGUAUCAACAGGAACGUUCAACUCUGUGAGUUGAAUGCACAGAUCACAAAGAAGUUUCUGAGAAUUCUUUUAAAUAGUUUUUAUUUGAAGAUAUUCCCAUUUCCAAAUAAGGCCUCAAAGCGGUCCAAAUAUCCACUUGCAGAGUCUUCAAAAAGAGUGUUUCAAAAAUGCCAUAUCAAAAGGAUGGUUCAACUCUGUGAGUUGAAUGCACACAUCACAAAGAAGUCUCUGAGAAUGCUUCAGUCUAAUUAUUUGAAGACAUUCCCUUUUCCAACGAAUGCCUCAAAACGCUCCAAAUAUCCACUUGCAGAUUCUACAAAAAGAGGGUUUCAAAAGUGCUCUAUCAAAAGGAAUUUUCAACUCUGUGAGUUGAAUGCACACAUCCCAAAGAAAUUUCUGAGAAUACUUCUGUCUAGUUUUUAUGUGAAGAUAUUUACUUUUCUACCUUAGGCCUCAAAGUGCUCAAAAUAUCCACUUGCAGAUACUACCAAAAGAGUGUUUCAAAACUGCUCCGUUAAAAGAAAGGUUCACCUCUGUGAGUUGAAUACACACAUUACAAAAAACUUUCUGAGAAUGCUUCUGUCUAGUGAUUAGGUGAAGAUAUUUGCUUUUCAACGAUAGGCUUCAAAUCUGUCCAAAUAUUCACUUGCAGAUUCUAUAAAAAUAUUUUUUCAAAACUGUUCAAUCAAAAGGAAAGUUCAACACUGUGAGUUGAAUGCACAGAUCACAAACAAGUUUCUGAGAAUGCUUCUGUCCAGUUUUUAUUUGACGAUAUUUCCAUUUCCAAUGAAGACCUCAAAGUGUUUCAAAUAGCCACUUGCAGAUUAUACAAAAAGAGUGUUUGAAAACUGCUCUAUCAAAAGUAAGGUUCGACUCUGUGAGUUGAAUGCACACUUCACCAAGAAGUUUCUGAGAAUGCUUCUGUUUAGUUUUUAUAUGAAGAUAUUAACAUUUCAACUGUAGGCCUCAAAGUGGUCCAAAUAUCCACUUGCAGAUUCCACAAAAAGAGGGUUUCAAAACUGCUCUAUCAAAAGGAAGGUUCAACUCUGUGAGCUGAAUGUACAUGUGACAGAGAAGUUUCUGAGAAUGCUUCUGUCUAGUUUCUAUGUGAAGAUAUUUCCUUUUCCACCACAGGCCUCAAAGCGCUCCAAAUGUCCAACUACAGAUCCUUCAAAAUAAGUGUUUCAAAACUGCUCUAUCAAAAGAAAGGUUCGACUCUGUAAGUUGAAUGCACACAUCGUAAAGAAGUUUCUGAGAAUGGUUCUGUCUAGUUUUUAUAUGAAGAUAUUUGCGUUUCCAUCAUACGCCUCAAAGCGAUCCAAAUAUCCACUUGCAGAUUCUACAAAAAGAGGGUUUCAGAAGUCCUCUAUCAAAAAGAAUGUUCUAAUCUCUGAGUUGAAUGCACACAUCACAAAGGAGUUUCUGAAAAAGCUUCUGUCUAAUUUUUAUUUGAAGAUAUUUCCUUUUCUACCAUAGACCUCAAAGCGCUCCAAAUGUCCACUUGGAGAUUCUCUAAAAAGAGUGUUUCAAAACUGCUCUAUCAAAAGGAAUGGUCAACUCUGUGAGAUGAAUGCACACAUCACAAAGAAUUUUCUGAAAGUUCUUCUGUAUAGCUUUUAUGUGAGAAUAUUCCCCUUCCAACGAAGGCCACAAAGCGGUCCAAAUAUCCACUUGCAGAUUCUAUGAAAAGAGUGUUUCAAAACUGCUCUAUCAAAAGGAAGGUUCAACUCUGAGAGUUGAAGACACACAUCACAAAGGAGUUUCUGAGAAUGCUUCUGUCUAGUUUUUAUUUUUAGAUAUUCCCGUUUCCAACGAAGGCAUUAAAGAGUUCCAAAUAUCCACUUGCAGAUUAUACGAAAAGAGUUUUUCAAAACUGCUCUAUCAAAAGGAAGGUUCUACUCUGUGAGUUGAAGGCACACAUCACAAAGAAGUUUCUGAGAAUGCUUCCGUCUGGUUUCUAUGUAACGAUAUUUCCUUUUCCACCACAGGACUCAAAGCCCUCCAAAUGUCCAGUUGCAGAUUCUAUAAAAAGAUGGUUUCUAAACUGCUCUUUCAAAAGGAAGGGUCAAAUUUGUUAAAUGAAUGCACACAACACAAAGAAGUUUCUGAGAAUGCCUCUGUCUAGUCAUUUGAAGAUAUUCCCGUUCCCAAUGAAGGCUUCAAAGCGGUCCAAAUAUCCACCUGCAGAUUCUACAAAAAGAGUGUUUCAAAACAGCUCUAUCAAAAGGAAGGUUCAACUAUGUGAGUUGAAUGCACACAUAACGAAGAGGUUUCUGAGAAUAGUUCUGUCUACUUUCUAUGGGAAGAUAUUUCCUUUUCCACCACAGGCCUCAAAACCCUCCAAAUAUCCACUUGCAGACUCUACAAAAAGAGUGCUUCAAGACUGUACUUUCAGGGAUCAUUUCUAUAGUUUGUUACAAAAAGAGUGCUUCAAAACUCCUCUACCAAAAGGAAGGUUCAACUCUUUGAGUUGAAUGCACACAUAAAAAAGAAGUUUCUGAGAAUGCUUCUGUCUAGUUUUUAUAUGAAGAUAUUUCCUUUUCAAGCAUAGGUCUCAAAGUGCUUCAAAUGUCCAUUUGCAGAUUCUACAAAAAGACUGUUUCAAAACUGCUCUAUGAAAAAUAUUGUUCAACUCUGUGAGUUGAAUGCACACAUCACCAAGAAGUUUCUGAAAAUGCUUCUGUCUAGGUUUUAUUUGAAGAUAUUUCCUUUUCUACCCUAGGCCUCCAAGUGCUCCAAAUGUCCACUUGCAGAUUCUACAAAAAGAGUGUUUCAAACCUGCUCUAUCAAAAGUAAUGUUCAACUCUGUGAGUUGAAUGCACACAUCACAAAGUACUUUCUGAGAAUGCUUCUGCCUAAUUUUUAUGUGAGAAUAUUCCCGUUUCCAACGAAGGCCUACAAGCUGACCCAAUAUUCACCUGCCGAUUCUCCAAAAAGAGUGUUUCAAAACUGCUGUAUCAAAAGAAAGGUUCACCUCUGUGAGUAGAAUGCACACAUCACAAAACACUUUCUUAGAAUGCUUCUGUCUAGUUUUUAUGUGAAGAUAUUCGCUUUUCUACCAUAGGCCUCGAAGCACUCCAAAUCUUCACUUGCAGAUUCUACAAAAAGAGUGUUUCAAAACUACUCUAUAAAAAAGAAGGUUCAACUCUGGGAGUUGAAUGCACACAUCACAAAGAAAUUUCUGAGAAUGCUUCUGUGUAGUGUCUAUUUGAAGAUAUUUCCUUUUCCCCACAGGCCUUAAAGCGCUCCAAAUGUCAACUUGUCAAUACUACAAAAAGAGUGUUUCAAAACUGCUCUAUCAAAAGAAAGGUUGAACUCUGUGAGGUGUAUGCAUACAUCACAAAGAAAUUUCUGAGAAUUCCUCUGUCUAGUUUUUAGUUGAAGAUAGUCCCGUUUCCAACGAAGGCCUCAAAACUGUCCAAAUAUCCACUUGCAGAUUCUAUAAAAUGAGUGUUUCAAAACUGUUCUAUCAAAAGGAAGGUUCAACUUGGUGAGUUGAAUGCACACAUCACAAAGAAGUGUCUGAGAAUGCUUCUGUCUAGUUUUUAUUUGAGAAUAUUCCCGUUUCCAACGAAGGCCUCAAAGCGUUCGAAAUAUCCACUUGCAAAUUAUACAAAAAGAGUGUUUCAAAACCGUUCUAUCAAAAGGAAGGUUCAACUCUGUGAGUUGAAUGCACACAUCGCAAGAGGUUUCUGAGAAUAGUUCUGUCUAGUUUCUAUGUGAAGAUAUUUCCUUUUCCACCACAGUUCUCAAAACCCUCCAAAUGUCCACUUGCAGACUCUACAAAAAGAGUGUUUCAAAUUUGUGUUAUCAAAAGGAAGUUUCAAAUCUGUGAGUUGAAUGCACACAUCACAAAGAAGUUUCUGAGAAUGCUUCUGUCUGUUUUUUUUCGGAGAUAAUCCCGAUUCCAACGAAGGCCUCAUAGCAGUCCAAAUAUCCACUUGCAGAUUCUACGAUAAGUAUGUUUCAAAAUUCCUCUAUCAAAAAAUAUGUUCAACUCUGUGAGUUGAAUGAACAGAUCACAAAGAAGUUUCUGAGAAUGCUUCUGUCUAGUUUUUAUUCCAAGAUAUUCCCUUUUCCAACGAACGCCUCAAAGCAGUCCAAAUACCCACUUGCAGAUCCAUCAAAAAAAGUGUUUCAAACUGCUCUAUUAAAAGGAAGGUUCAGUUCUGUGAAUUGAAUGCACAAAUCACAAAGAAGUUUCUGAGAAUGCGUCUGUCUAGUUAUUUGAAUUCAUUCCCGUUUCCAACGAAGGUUUCAAACAGUCAAAAUAUCGACUUGCAGAUUCUACAAAAAGAGUGUUUCAAAACUGCUCUAUCAAAAGGAAGGUUCAACUCUGUGAGUUGAAUGCACACAUCAUAAAGAGAUUUCUGAGAAUUCUUCUGUCUAGUCUCUAUGUGAAGAUAUUACCUUUUCCACCUCAGGCCUCAAAUCCCUCCAAAUGUCAGCUUGCAGAUUCUACAAAAAGAGUGUUUCAAAACUGUUCCAUCAAGAGGACGGUGCAACUCUCUGAGUUGAAUGCACAAAUCACAAAGAUGUUUCUGAAAAUGCUUCUUGUCCAGUUUUAAUGUGAGAAUAUUCCCCUUUCCAAUGAAGGCCUCAAAGCGCUCCAAACUUCCCCUUGCAGAGUCUACAAAAAGAGUGUUUCAAAACUGCUCUAACAAAAGAAAAGUUCACCUCUGUGAGUUGAAUGCACACAUCACAAAGGAGUUUCUGAGAAUCCUUCUGUCUAGUUUUUAUUUGAAGAAACACACGUUUCCAAUGAAGGCCUCAAAGCGUUCCAAAUAUCCACUUGCAGAUUCUAAAAAAAAGACUGUUUCAAAACUUCUCUGUCAAAAGAACGGUUCAACUCUGUUAGCUGAAUGCACACAUCACAAAGUAGUUUCUGAGAAUACUUCUGUCUAGUUUUAUAUGAAGAUAUUUGCUUUUCUACCAUAGGCUUCAAAGCGCUCCAAAUAUGCACUUGCAGAUUCUACAAAAAGAGUGUUUCAAAACAGCUCUUUCAAAAGGGAGGUUCAACUCGUAGGUUGAAAGCACACAUCAAAAAGUGGUUUCUGAGAAUACUUUUGUCUAGUUUCUAUGUGAAGAUAUUUCCUUUCCUACCAUAUUCCUCAAAGCGCUCCAAAUGUCCACUUUCAGAUUCUUCAAAAGACUGUUUCAAAGCUGCUCUAUCAAAAGGAAGGCUCAACUCUGUGAGUUGAAUGCACACAUCACAUAGAAGUUUCUGAAAAUGCUUCUGUCUAGCUUUUAAGUUAGGAUAUUCCCAUUUCCAAUGAAGGCCUCAAAGAGUUCCAAAUAUCCCCUUGCAGAUUCUCCAAAAAGAGUGUCUCAAAACUUCUCUUUCAAAAGAAAGGUUCACCUCUGUGAGCUGAAUGCACACAUAACAAAGAAGUUUCUGAGAAUGCUUCUGUCUAGUUUUAUAUGAAGAAAAUUUCUUUCCUACUAUAGGCCUAAAAGCGCUCCAAAUAUCCACUUGCAGAUUCUACAAAAAGAGUGUCUCAAAACUGCUAUAUCAAAAGAAAGGUCACCUCUGUGAGUUGAAUGCACACAUCACAAAGUACUUUCUGAGAAUGCUUCUGUCUACUUUUUAUGUGAAGAUACUUGCUUUUCUACCAUAGGCCUCAAAGCGCUCCAAUUGUCCACUUAGAGAUUCUACAAAAGAGUGUUUCAAAACUGCUGUAUCAAAAGGAAGCUUCAAAUCUGUGAGUUGAAUGCACACAACACAAAUAAGUUUCUGAAAAUGCUUCUAUCUAGUUUUUAUGUGAGAAUAUCCCCGUUUCCAAUGAAGGCCUCAAAGCGGUCCAAAUAUCCACUUGCAGAUUCUCCAAAAAGAGUGUUUCAAAACUACUCUACUAAAGGAAAAGUUCACCUCUGUGAGUUGAAUGCCCACAUCACAAAGUACUUUCUGAGAAUGCUUCCAUCUAGUUUUUAUGUGAAGAUAUUUGCUUUUCUACCAUAGGCCUCAAUGCGCUCCAAAUAUCCACUUGCCUGUUCUACAAAGAGUGUUUCAAAACUGGUCUAUCAAAAGGAAGGUUCAACUCUGUAAGUUGAAUGAACACAUCACAAAGAAGUUUCUGAGAAUCCUUCUGUCUAGUUAUUUGAAGAUAUUCACUUUUCCAACAAAGGCCUCAAAGCGGUCCAAAUAUCCACUGGCAGAUUGUAGAAAAAGAGUGUUUCAAAACUGCUCUAUCAAAAGAAAGGUUGAACUCUGUGAGUUGAAUGCACACAUCACAAAGUGGUUUCUGAGAAUGGUUCCGUCUACUUUCUAUGUGAAGAUAUUUCCUUUUCCACCAUAGGCCUCAAAACCCUCCAAAUGUCCACUUGCAGAUUCUACAAAAAGAGGGUUUCAAAACUGUUCUAUCAAAAGGAAGGUUCAAAUCUGUGAGUUGAAUGCACACAUAAAAGAGACGUUUCGGAGAAUGCUACUGUCUAGUUUUUAUUUGAAGAUAUUCCCGUUUCCGACGAAAGCAUCAAAGCAGUCCAAAUAUCCAAUUGCAGGUUAUACAAAAAGAAUGUUUCAAAACAUCUCUAUCAAAAAGAAGGUUCAACUCUGUGAGUUGAAUGAACACAUCACAAAGAAGUUUCUCAGAUGGAUUCUGUCUAUUUUUUAAGUGAGGAUAUUCCCGUUUCCAACACAGGCGUCAAAGUCCUCCAAAUGACCACUUGCAGAUUCUACAAAAAUAAUGUUUCAAAACUUCUCUAUCAAAAAGAGGGUUCAAGUCUGUAAGUUGAAUGCACACAUCACAAAGAUGUUUCUGAGAAUGAUUUUCAUGUCGUUUUCAUAUGAAGAUAUUUCCUUUUCUUUUUUUUGUAUUUUACUUUAAGUUUUAGGGUAUAUGUGCACAAUGUGCAGGUUAGUUACAUAUGUAUACAUUUGCCAUGCUGGUGCGCUGCACCCAGUAACUGGUCAUCUAGCAUUAGGUAUAUCUCACAAUGCUAUCCCUACCCCUACCUCCACCCCACAACAGGCCCCAGAGUGUGAUGUUCCCCUUCCUGUAUCCAUGUGUUCUCAAUGUUCAGUUGCCGCCUAUGAGUGAGAAUAUGUGGUGUUUGGUUUUUUGUUCUUGCG